rnacentral:rRNA from 1 species
AUACGAAGGGGGCUAGCGUUGUUCGGAAUUACUGGGCGUAAAGCGCACGUAGGCGGAUAUUUAAGUCAGGGGUGAAAUCCCAGAGCUCAACUCUGGGACUGCCUUUGAUACUGGGUAUCUUGAGUAUGGAAGAGGUAAGUGGAAUUCCGAGUGUAGAGGUGAAAUUCGUAGAUAUUCGGAGGAACACCAGUGGCGAAGGCGGCUUACUGGUCCAUUACUGACGCUGAGGUGCGAAAGCGUGGGGAGCAAACAGGAUUAGAAACCCUAGUAGUCC